AGUCCCAGGUGCCCAGUGUGUCCCACAUGUCCUGGUGACGGCUCUGUGUGACAACAGGCUUCCUGCACAGCUCCAGCAUCGAUGUUACGUUAGAGAUUUUCUUCUUUACAAACUUCCUCACUAGGAAAGAAAUAGAUUUUAACUAUACUGGAUGAGGUUCUCAGGUGGAUUUUGUAAUCAGAACACAGAAUCCCUUCUGUGGACAGAGGGAUGCAUUUAGGGAACCCGGACUGUCCUCAUCUCAGGGCACUGUGCCUAAAACUGGAGGGUUCCUGAUGCAGUGCCUGCAUGGAAGUGUGCCAGUGGUGGCAUGUCCCCAGCCAGCUGGACCCAGGACCUGUCCAGCCGUACUGGGAUUCAUCAUGGGACCUUUGGAGGAGCAUCAUUCCCUUUCGGUUCCCAAGUGGAAAACAGGAGAAGAGACACCUGGCAUAGACGGGCGGAGGGCACCAGGCACCCAGCUGCAGAGGGUCUGGGCACACUCCGGGGAGUUUUCACUAGUGCCACAGUCAGGUCCUGGUGUUGCAGGACCAGGGCUCACCUCUUAUUGGGGCCCUGGUGUGGAUCAGCCCUGCUGGCUGGUCACAGCCCCAGCCUGAGCUGUGCCAGGGGAGGAAAUACCCCAGACAUCAGUGAGCGAUCCCACUGGGCCUGGGGGCCCUCGGAGUUCACUGAACUGGUUUGCCCCUUCUCUUGCUUAGCAAGUUGCUUUUACGGAGGAAUUGUAUCACGGGCCUUGUAUCACAUCACACUUGUUAUAUCAUCAGCUGGAGAGCUUCUAUUUAUGGCGUUUAUUGCUUCCAGCUCUUAG
rnacentral:lncRNA from 1 species